rnacentral:rRNA from 1 species
CCUACGGGAGGCAGCAGUGAGGAAUAUUGGUCAAUGGUCGGGAGACUGAACCAGCCAAGCCGCGUGAGGGAUGAAGGUACAGAGUAUCGUAAACCUCUUUUGUCAGGGAACAAAGGCGGGGACGUGUCCCCGGAUGAGUGUACCUGAAGAAAAAGCAUCGGCUAACUCCGUGCCAGCAGCCGCGGUAAUACGGAGGAUGCGAGCGUUAUCCGGCUUUAUUGGGUUUAAAGGGUGCGCAGGCGGUCUGUUCAGUCAGCGGUCAAAGCCCGGGGCUCAACCCCGGCCCGCCGUUGAAACUGGCAGUCUCGAGUUGGAGAGAAGUAUGCGGAAUGCGCGGUGUAGAGGUGAAAGGCAUAGAUAGCGCGCAGAACUCCGAUUGCGAAGGCAGCAUGCCGGCUCCACACUGACGCUGAGGCACGAAAGCGUGGGUAUCGAACAGGAUUAGAUACCCCAGUAGUC